AGCAGGCCCGCAUCUGUCUGCUGUACCUGCCACUCUUUGAGCUGCUCUACCAGAACCUGAGUCAUAUGAACAGCCCGGGGCAACUCUGCAGAAAUGGCCUCGGCCUCGUGUACCGGGAUGAUUUGUCAGUGGACAGCCGCAGAAGCAGCACAAUCGUUGAUAAGGAACCUACUGGUGCCAUCACCCAGAAUGGACACUUUAGGAAAGGAGAGUCCAGAAGCUCUAUGUAUGGAGAUCCUGGCACUCCAGACAUC